CUCCUCCUUCCUAAGAACGCAACAAUGCAGACCCAAAAUCCUCCAAUGUGUAGCUGGGCGAUAGCAAGGGCUUGCCGACGGUGGCGGCGGGCCAGAUCCGGUGGCUAGCUGGGCGACUGCGCCCAGCGGAGGUCCAGAUCCAGCACCCGACCGUCUUGUCGGCUUCCUGGCUGCCUCGACAGACCUCCCCUGUGCGGACAAGUACUCUGCUCUUCGUCACCGCCAGCGCGCCGCCGCACAGCGCAUCGAGAGGAACGAGGGUGUUGUUGCCAAGGAGGAGGUCUCCAUGCACCGCCACUUCGACGACCUCCGCGCCCUCGGCAGAUCGAAGCUCUUCAACUAGUACUAAGUUUGUUCUCCGCUGUUUUGGUGUUGCAUCUUGAACUGAAAUGGAGGGAAGUAGUGAGACAUAGCCUUCAGGAGAGCCCACAGUUCCAGUAAUUGCAAAAUUUAUACCAACACUACCAGUCGUGGAAUCGGUCAAUAGUAGUGCUCAAAAUCAAGAUUUCAGCGAUGCUACCUCGUCUGCAGAGAUUAAUUCACUAAUGCUUCUUAUUGAAUUUCUUUGCCAUUAUUGUAUGUCCAUCAUUAGGCUAUCUUUGUGGUUUACUGGUCAUAGGUAAUAUUAUUCUUCUCGAACCCAUGACUGCUCUGGAGUGAUUAAAUUUUCCAGUGGCUUCUCUGUCCAGUAUAGAAUUUGUCUAUAAUUUUCCUUCCAAACAAAUGGUAUUGUUUAUACUCAUAUUACCACAAAAUCACCAUUUCUUUGUGUCUUUGGUGCUAAAUUAAAAGUACCUGACCAAUAAGAGGCGCUUUACAGGAGUGGAAACCAACAGCUUCAGUGCACAUGCAAAACAUUGUGGCCUGCACUUGUAGUGCUGCUGUCAGCAAAUAUGUGUGCACUAAGGCAAUAUUAGGUCACAGGAUAUAAUUAGCAGGAAAUGUCCAUUGGAGGGAGUAAAUGGCUGAUUGUUUUGACCUACUUGGGCUUGACUUGGGAUAGUCCUUCGGUUGCUAACCAUCCAUUGAGCCAUAAAACUUAUAAUGUAAUAUCAAUACAUCAGUAUAGCCGGUCGUAAGUUGUAUGCAAGUCUUAUUGGGAUGACGAGCUGUGAAAAUAGAUACAAUUGAUCAGUCAUUGUCAAAUUGUAAAUAUAUUUUGUCGUACGAUAUUCUUUUCGUUUUCUCUUCAGUGGUCUAACUCCGCCUAUGUCUUCUAGGCAUAGCCGGUCCCAAGCCCGGGUAAAGGAGGAGGGUUGUGAUAGGCUUGGCGAGCCAACGUAAAAACUAGCCAGUCCCAUAGGUAUGAAACCCAUUUGAGCGAGAAUAGUACUAGGAUGGGUGACCUCCUAGGAAGUCCUCGUGAAAGGGUUUCAUAUCUAAGGGUUGUGAUAGGCUUGGCGAGCCAACAUAAAAACUAGCCAUCUUUUGGGUAUGAAACCCAUUUGGGCGAGAGUAGUACUAGGAUGGGUGACCUCCUGGGAAGUCCUCGUGAAAGGGUUUCAUAUCUAGCCUACCCCAACUUGUUUGGGAUAAAAGGCUUCGUAAGUAAGUUUCUCUUCAGUGGUCUGACAUGUGCCUCUGUGCUGCAGCAUCAAGGUUUUACUUUUGUCAUCUAUGAGUUAGCAAAAGAACUUGAAUUGCAUUAUUAAUUGUUCAAUACAUAUACACGAUCAGGAUUAGAGAACAUAAUUUCCUAUUUCUUUCCUUGUAAUGUAAAGUAUAUUUUUUUCCUUGUAUUUGUAGAUGCAUGAUGCCCUGACAACCGGAAACAUCAAGACCGCAGAUGGAUAUAAGAAGCUUUUAUCAAAGUCUUCCCUUUCUGACGAUUGAGAGAAUUUCUAUGGAAGAUAUAUUUAACUGUGUUUUUUGAUUAUGCAUCUGUACGUGUCUGUGCUCAACUGAAUCGUGUUUGCUUGGUGUGACCUCUCCCAGAACAAGAAGCUUAUGAGCAAGAAGUGGUAGAACUGGAGGGGAAUGCUAGAGCUUUUCUAUUAUGACCAUCAAGAUAGUAGAGCUUAUCGUUUUAAAUAGCAAUGCAUGUUGAGUGGUGAUCAUAUUUACUCUGUCUUGUUGGCCAUGUACUAAAAAUGAUGCUACCAUGUCUCAUCAAGAUAUGUAUGCUUGUGAUAUGCUCAA